GGAAUUUUGGGCAAUGGGCGAAAGCCUGACCCAGCAACGCCGCGUGAAGGAUGAAGUAUUUCGGUAUGUAAACUUCGAAAGAAUGGGAAGAAUAAAUGACGGUACCAUUUAUAAGCUCCGGCUAACUACGUUCCAGCAGCCGCGGUAAUACGUAGGGAGCAAGCGUUGUUCGGAUUUACUGGGCGUAAAGGGUGCGUAGGCGGCGCGUCAAGUCACUUGUGAAAUCUCCGGGCUUAACUCGGAAAGGCCAAGUGAUACUGUCGCGCUAGAGUGCGGAAUGGGCAACUGGAAUUCUUGGUGUAGCGGUGAAAUGCGUAGAUAUCAAGAGGAACACCUGAGGCGAAGGCGAGUUGCUGGGCCGACACUGACGCUGAGGCACGAAAGCCAGGGGAGCGAAC
rnacentral:rRNA from 1 species